rnacentral:rRNA from 1 species
AUACGUAGGGUGCGAGCGUUGUCCGGAAUUACUGGGCGUAAAGAGCUCGUAGGUGGUUUGUCGCGUUGUCCGUGAAAACUCACAGCUCAACUGUGGGCGUGCGGGCGAUACGGGCAGACUAGAGUACUGUAGGGGAGACUGGAAUUCCUGGUGUAGCGGUGGAAUGCGCAGAUAUCAGGAGGAACACCGGUGGCGAAGGCGGGUCUCUGGGCAGUAACUGACGCUGAGGAGCGAAAGCGUGGGGAGC